UCGUUAUAGAUCACCACGGCGGCCGCCCGCUUCCUCACCGCGUUGGCGAUUUUGUCUUUCAAGCUGCAGCCCCCGUGCGUCACCAAAGCGAUCCAGGACCGAGACACCCCCGCUGCUUUGUCUCUCGACAGGCCGCCGCGGGAAGUUCCGGGCGGCAUAGGGAUUUCGUACUCAACAUCCGAAGCGCAGCCUUCCAUGUGGCGGGCGGUCCCGCCGCGGGGGAUGCCUACCAGGCCUUGCGCGCUCUGCUUGGGCGAGCCUUCCCCAUAACGGCCGCUCUCGGUGCUGCUCCGCAUCGUGCGGUUGGUGCCGGGCUCGGUGUAUACCGUGGUCACCCAAGCCGUGUACCACACCAGAGACCAGGCGACCCGCGGACACCCCACCGCCGCCAGCGCAACCAACAACGGCAGCGUUACGCGACGCACCAAGACCAUGGCUCCCGGACGCACAAGGAUGCCCGCCAGCCCCAAUACCAGCAGACUAAGCGAAUGAACCUUCCUGUACAAAACGCGGUUUUGCAGCCGCACGCAGCAACCUCAAGGUUCCCGCCCCUUUUCCGGGAGGCGGCCCAACUUCCAGGCAGACGAAUGGCUGAGCAGCCGCAGCUUAGAGUGGGACAAAGAGGUCGAGCGGAGGUUGUCCCUCUCUCCCUUCCGCGGCCAGGCCAGGCCACGCCACGCCCCCACGCCGCCCACGCCACGCCCCCACGCCGCCCACGCCGCCCCACCAAGCUGUCUUCUCUUCUUCCCUCAUAGAUACACUCAGUUUGGAGACCACUCCUUCUCUUCCAUUCUUCUGGAGAAAAAAAGAAACCUCCUCCUUAGGCGUAUCGCUUCUGGCCCCCCAGAGAGGAGUAGCCGAAUCAUAGUAUAACCAUGUCUACUCAGAACAAGCCAGGGCACAAACAGAAUAACAGGAGCCAGAGAGGGAGGUCUCAAAAGGAUCAAGUGAAACAUACUCAAUGAACAUAAUAGGAAACAGACAAGUGGACAAGUCAGGAGACAGGAAGGAAGGAGGGAGUGGAGGCAGCAAGCAGCAAGCAGAGAAGGAUGGCUGACUAGGAAAGGGCAGCUGGCCAGAUCCUUUGGUGUAUGCACACGUGAAUCACGCAUGCAUGGCUGAGGGGGCCACUGGAAAACCGGAGAUCCACGUGUU